rnacentral:rRNA from 1 species
UACGUAGGGUGCGAGCGUUGUCCGGAAUUAUUGGGCGUAAAGAGCUCGUAGGCGGUCUGUCGCGUCGGUCGUGAAAACUUGGGGCUUAACCCUGAGCUUGCGGUCGAUACGGGCAUGACUGGAGUUCGGCAGGGGAGACUGGAAUUCCUGGUGUAGCGGUGAAAUGCGCAGAUAUCAGGAGGAACACCGGUGGCGAAGGCGGGUCUCUGGACAGUGCCUGACACUGAGACACGAAGGCCAGGGGAGCAAACGGG